GUAGUCUGCAACCCGACUACAUGAAGCUGGAAUCGCUAGUAAUCGCGAAUCAGAAUGUCGCGGUGAAUACGUUCCCGGGUCUUGUACACACCGCCCGUCACACCAUGGGAGUUGGAAAUGCCCGAAGUCAGUGACCCAACCGAAAGGAGGGAGCUGCCGAAGGCAGGUCCGGUAACUGGGGUGAAGUCGUAACAAGGUAGC
rnacentral:rRNA from 1 species